rnacentral:rRNA from 1 species
AGAGUUUGAUCAUGGCUCAGAAUCAACGCUGGCGGCGCGCUUAACACAUGCAAGUCGAACGAGAAAGGGGGAGCAAUCUCCUGAGUACAGUGGCGUACGGGCGAGUAACACGUGGGUAAUCUACCUCUUAGUGGGGAAUAACCCUGGGAAACCGGGGCUAAUACCGCAUAAUCUCGAGAGAGGAAAGUCGCAAGACGCUGAGAGAGGAGCCCGCGGCCGAUUAGCUAGUUGGCAGGGUAAAAGCCUACCAAGGCAAAGAUCGGUAGCCGGCCUGAGAGGGCACACGGCCACACUGGCACUGAAACACGGGCCAGACUCCUACGGGAGGCAGCAGUGGGGAAUCUUGCACAAUGGGGGAAACCCUGAUGCAGCGACGCCGCGUGAGCGAUGAAGCCCUUCGGGGUGUAAAGCUCUUUCGGCAGGGAAGAUGAUGACGGUACCUGCAGAAGCAGCUGCGGCUAACUACGUGCCAGCAGCCGCGGUAAUACGUAGGCAGCGAGCGUUGUUCGGAGUUACUGGGCGUAAAGGGUGUGUAGGCGGUUGCUUAAGUUUGGUGUGAAAUCUCCCGGCUCAACUGGGAGGGUGCGCCGAAUACUGAGUGACUAGAGUGCGGGAGAGGAGAGUGGAAUUCCUGGUGUAGCGGUGAAAUGCGUAGAUAUCAGGAGGAACACCGGUGGUGUAGACGGCUCUCUGGACCGUAACUGACGCUGAGACACGAAAGCGUGGGUAGCAAACAGGAUUAGAUACCCUGGUAGUCCACGCCCUAAACGAUGCAUAUUUGGUGUGGGCAGUUCAUUCUGUCCGUGCCGGAGCUAACGCGUUAAAUAUGCCGCCUGGGGAGUACAGUCGCAAGGCUGAAACUCAAAGGAAUUGACGGGGGCCCGCACAAGCGGUGGAGCAUGUGGUUCAAUUCGACGCAACGCGAAGAACCUUACCUGGGCUCGAACGGCUGGCUAAC